CAAAAGCCUGGUCCUGACUUUAUUAUCAGUUCUGACCUAAUUUACACAUGCAAGUACCCGCGCCCCCGUGAGAAUGCCCUCCACCUCCCACCCUCGGAGAAGAGAAGCCGGUAUCAGGCACACUCCUAGCAGCAGCCCAAAACACCUUGCCCAGCCACGCCCCCAAGGGAAUUCAGCAGUGAUAAACAUUAAGCAAUAAGCGACUAAAGCUUGACUUAAUUAAGGCCGAACCAGAGCCGGUAAAACUCGUGCCAGCCACCGCGGUUAUACGAGGGGCUCAAAUUGAUAUUUCACGGCGUAAAGUGUGAUUAGAGAAAAUAAAAAAUAAAGCCAAACACCCCCCCCCCAGCUGUCAUACGCUAACGAGGCCAGAAGCCCUAUAACGAAAGUAGCUUUAAUAAUCUUGAACUCACGACCAUUAAAAAACAAACUGGGAUUAAAUACCCCACUAUGCUUAAUCGUAAACAACGAUGGCACACUACAAAACCAUCCGCCAGGGGACUACGAGCACCAGCUUAAAACCCAAAGGACUUGGCGGUGCCUCAAACCCACCUAGAGGAGCCUGUUCUAUAACCGAUAAUCCCCGUUCAACCUCACCACUCCUUGUUAACCCAGCCUAUAUACCGCCGUCGCCAGCUUACCUCAUGAGAGACCAAACAGUAAGCCAAAUGGGUUCCGCCCAAAACGUCAGGUCGAGGUGUAGCCAAUGGAGUGGAAAGAAAUGGGCUACAUUUUCUGAACCAGAAUACCACGAAAAGUGCCAUGAAAAAUCACAACCGAAGGUGGAUUUAGCAGUAAAAAGGGAACAGAGAGCCCUUUUGAAGACGGCUCUGAGGCGCGUACACACCGCCCGUCACUCUCCUCAAAACACCCAAACCAAGAGUAUAUAAAGAAUAAAAUAACAAAAGAGGAGGCAAGUCGUAACAUGGUAAGUGUACCGGAAGGUGCACUUGGAAGAAU
rnacentral:ncRNA from 1 species